rnacentral:rRNA from 1 species
UACGUAGGGUGCGAGCGUUUAAUCGGAAUUACUGGGCGUAAAGCGUGCGCAGGCGGUUUUGUAAGCCAGAUGUGAAAUCCCCGGGCUUAACCUGGGAAUGGCAUUUGGGACUGCAAGGCUUGAGUGCGGCAGAGGGAGAGUGAAUUCCUGGUGUAGCAGUGAAAUGCGUAGAUAUCAGGAGGAACACCGAUGGCGAAGGCAGGUCUCUGGGCUGACACUGACGCUCAUGCACGAAAGCGUGGGGAGCAAACAGG